UACACAACGAUUGAAGAAUUGUCAAUUUUGUGGAUUUACAAAUGUCGACUCCAUGUUAUGAUACAACAUGAACAAGCAUGUGCUGACUUGAGAAUGCAAACAACAACUCAGGUAGGAAGGUGUUCUUGCAAAAAGGGUGGUUUUCUGAAGAAGGGUUCUGUAGAGAGGUGGCUUUGAUAUAAGUAGAAGAUAAUGCUUAAAGUAACUUUUUCGGGACAUAUCAUCCUCCAAGCACUCUCUGUUUCAAGACAUAACCAAUGGAAGAAAAAAAAAAACGUAUUGGAUGAAGGCAGUCGCUACGCUCAACUCGCUUUUUAUCAUGUGAAUAUGAAGUAAGAUGUGCCAUAUAUGAAUAUGCAGAUCCGGAAGAUGCCUAGAGGCAGAGGAAGCGAGAAUGUUAUGCAAAAAAAUAAAGAGGAGAUUUCAAAACGCAGACGCCAAGAACGAGAGUUUAAAAAACAGGCAACGACUACUACAAUUGCCAAUAACAUAGUAUGUCAUACACCAGCUACUAGACAACCGGGAGUCACCCAGCUGCAAUACAGAACACCUGCAGGAGGUCAUGUGUUCUCAACUCGCAUCAUAUGGGUGCCAUGCUUUCUAAAUACAAAUAUAUGUAUGAAAUACUAAUUUUAAGCUGCAAUGAAUUUGUAGAUGUGGCUCCAGUUGUUCGACAAAACUAUGCAUCUCAAAUUACUUCACCAUCACUCAACCAUUUAGCGGGUGGUGAGUAUAUUGUGGGCUGCAGUAAUGUUUCCCUCUAUGAACCGAUCGCAUCUACAUUGCAAUCUGAUGAGUGUGGCGCAUUUACAUGCCUAACAAUCAAUCAUAUUGAACAU